rnacentral:rRNA from 1 species
UACGUAGGGUGCAAGCGUUGUCCGGAAUUAUUGGGCGUAAAGCGCGCGCAGGCGGUCCUUUAAGUCUGAUGUGAAAGCCCACGGCUCAACCGUGGAGGGUCAUUGGAAACUGGGGGACUUGAGUACAGAAGAGGAAAGCGGAAUUCCACGUGUAGCGGUGAAAUGCGUAGAGAUGUGGAGGAACACCAGUGGCGAAGGCGGCUUUCUGGUCUGUAACUGACGCUGAGGCGCGAAAGCGUGGGGAGCAAACAGG